CUCAGCUGAGGAGAGAGGAAGCCAACGUGAGAUCAGCAACCCUAUCCCCACGCUGCCCACCGAAUCGCCGCCCCAACCCAGGCUCCCUCCUCUCGGCCGUCCUCUCUCCCCAUCGCCGCCAUGACGCCAUCGUCUCGUUCAUCCUCCUCUCUCCCAUCGCCGCGCUCCGCCUCGCCUGUCCUCCUCCUUUCCGUUACGCCUGGGGCUGCCGGCAAGGAUCCCCUCCUCCACCGCUCCCUUUCACUGGGCAGAGAAGCAGAAAGGGGCGCGAGUUUGUGGGAGCAGUGUCGCCGUCUUCAGCCCAGGGGAGCACGAGCCGCCUAAGAGAGGAGGAGGAGGAGGUGCCAGGGCGGGGCUCAGCAGCGCAGGUCAAGUGCGGGCCAAUGACCCACUGUGGAAACCCUAGCUGCCAUGGUCUCGUGCCCCCUCAAACUCGCGUCGAUUCACGUGCUGCCACCUCCCCGUCCCUCCUCGAGCUCGUCGUGGUCCUGCUAGCCGAGGUUGCGCUGCAUCUAAAGGGCGGAGACAAUGGAUGGAACAAAAGAUGGAUCGUCGCACAGAGGCAUGAGCAUGGUGGAUAAUGAAGGAGAGAGGAGGUGGCAUAUGGAGGGUGAGAAGGUGGAGGAGGUGGUAUAUGGAGGGUGAGCAGGCGGACGAGGUGGCACUCCCACAACCUGCAGCUGGCUUGUCGCGCGAGAAUCAGCAAUGCAACAUACUUGUGUUUGUGCCUUUUUAAUCGCCUAUCUAUGUUUUUGAACAUAAUUCUAGCUGUUAACGAAUCAACAUACUGCUAAUUGCAAAGUUAGUACCAUUGUUGUUCCCUUUAAGAUUCUCACAAACAGAAUUUUUUUCUUUCAUUGUUCAACAUUUGUUAUAGAAAAGGUACUCCACUUUGUAUGCUCUCUAUAUGUUCAACUUGGUCUAUUGUUGUAUUUGUUCAAUUCCUCUAAGCAUAUGUUAUUCAGUAUAUUUAUAUUUUGAAUGUUUCGCGGUAUUUAACUUCAACCCCUGCUUGUGAGCCCGGAGAGAGGGAUCUUUUACUCCGUCCUUUAUUUACACCCUGUUGAUUAUCAUCGAGUUCACUCUCCUGUUGAUUGGAAUAUUUUAAAACGUCAACAUUUCUCAGGUUUGCAGUUAUUCUGUUUUGUAGUGUAACCUGUGAAACACUGUCGCUAUUGCAACUAUAUUGUGUUUUUAGGUAAUCUUUUCUGAACAAGCGUACAUGUUGUGCAGACCAUCAAAAACCUGUAUGUUGAGAAUGAAAGGGUAGUGCUCGAAGGUCGUUGGGAAGAAGGUUUUGUUGCGAUCGUAGCAGUUGGCGCUACUAAUGUUAGUUCUGUCAGGGUUUUAAUGAUGGGCAUCUUUGUUAUAGAACUUCUCAUUAUAGAGGCACUCCAAGUUCUGAUGCUAUUAUCUUUCAGUGCUACAAUUGUAUUCAUCUCGGUUAGGAACCGUAAGAGAGGGAAUGAUUUUUGUGGCGUCCAUUCACUGGCACACUAUGUCUCCCAGUGCCGCCUUAUCGCUGAUUCAAUCGUAGCUGCCGCAUCACCAUUCUUGAUGUCGCCACCACCGAGACAAGGUUGUGGUCAUGUCCUCAGGUAAAUAUUCACCGGAGAAAAACUACAGGCAGAUAUCGUAGUUCCUAUGUUCAGCUGGUUGUAGCCUGCCGUGCAUAUGUUUUGUUGAAAUUAUGAAGGAUUUGCAGCUUCCGUCAUCAGCGAGAGAUGAUAGCUGAGAAUGUCGGUGUUCUGUGGUGUUGAGUUAUGGGUGAGCCACCUAAUUGUGGAUGACAAGAAAAUUUGUCUGCCACACAAUAGAAGAAACACUAAUUACAACAGGGGAUUAGGCGGUGAUGGUGUCUUCGUCUCAGAAAACGCUGGACCUACUUUGGAAUCAAGGAGAACAAAUAAAAACAGAUUGCUGCCCAUUUUACUGACUUCAUGUUGCUUAGAGUACAAGUUCAUAGUGUGAACUCCUAGGAUAGUGAUGAGUGCUAUGUCGACGAUGUGGCCUUUUACACUACAGCGUUGGCAGUACCCAAUCCAUAUGUGAUGUGCUAUGACUAUAAACAAAAGUCAAGGCCAGACGCUUGACAUAGUUGGUGUUUACUUGCCAGAACCUAUAUUUUCUCAUGGACAGUUUUAUGUGGCCAUCUCAAGGGUCACUUUGAGGAGUGGAUUAAAGAUUAUUACACUAGAUGAGAAUGGUAGCCCCUUUACACAUACUAGAAAUAUCAUGUGUUGUCAAGUGCUGAACAACAUUUAAGAUGAUUUGCUAUCCAUGCGCUUUCUCCUUUA